AAACCUGGUAAAGGAUUGAUCCACAGCAGCUGUAAUCCUCGAGUUAAAUCCCAGCCCCACUGGGAGUUUUAUCAUUGCCUUCAAAGGAGGAAAGAUUUCAACCUGCGUGUUAUUUUAUUCAAUCACCUAGUGAAGCUCCUAGCAGUAAAGCAGCUCAGCUCAGUCCCGCUCCCCUGUGGGAGGCAUGGGUUCAGACUGCUUUAUCAACUAGGAGUGUGGAACUGGCUUUCAGGAAAAAAUGGAUAAAACCCCUUUGAAUAGGCCUUUGUCUCAUUUUAGUAAUCUAUGUUUUUUUGUUUGUUUUGUUUUUUCACAGAUGUAACUCAAAACUGCUGAAUUUUCAAAUUUUCAAGUCCAAGCCUAGUGAGAACUUUAGUUUUUGGCUUGUUUCAUAACAAAACUUUGUGGCAAUGGAGAAUUUGGUUUCACGUAAUCAUGGCAGACAACUGAGCUACUGCUAAGCAAACAAGGGGACACAUGCAUGGAUCUCAUUUUUACUCCAUGCCACGUGCAGGAUGCAAGCGUUGAUCCUUGCUUAUCACAGGAUAGAUUCAGGGAAGCCAAACACUACACGAUGUGAACCAGGACCCCUGACUCUUUUGGGCCUGAUAAGAUUUACUGAUAGGAAUGACAAAAAGUACAGUCCCCAGCUGGACUAAAUCUCCACCUGAUGGAGUCAACGUGGGAUUGGCCUUCAGCUGUCUUUAUGAAUGCUGGUGUGAGUUCAGAGCUGACUGAGAGCUACCACAGAGCAGGCUGUAUGAAUUCUGAGAAACAGGAAAACACUGUGAGAAAGCUCCUAUUUUUGCAUCCUUUAUGUUGCUUUCACAGCUUGUAACUGCUGAGCCAUCAAAAAGCUGCAUUUAGGAGUAAGCUGGACUUUCUUCUUUGGGCUGUGAAUGAAAUAGUGUAAGAAACAUAAAAAUCCCUCUGUCAACACUGCAGAGAUGCACACAAAGCCAAGAUAAACUCCCCUCACAACACAGCAAAUAUCUGUGCACUGGUGCAUGGGAAGUAGAAAAGGAAGAGCAGUGCGUGAGGUUCAAAGGUGUAUAGCCACAAUCAUGCCAUUGGCCCAAAGAACAUUGCUCAAGUUGAAAUGUAUCUGCUUAUAUUCACUACUCCAAGCUGUUUGCAAGAGAUGUAAUCUUGUGCUUUAUGUGACCCAAAGAAAUCAAGUCCAUGAUGCUCCUUCGAGGGGUCUCUGGCCAGGUCUGCACCAAGAACAGCUGAUGCUACCAAAGCAUUACAAAGCAAUAUAAUGCUGCAGACUGUAGAUGUUGCAGAGGUUAUUGAAGGACUCAUGGACCUGACAACGCUUCGAUUUCACGGAAACAGAACUUCAACUGCUUUGUGACAUUGAUUUCCCAGAGUCAGGGCAAGGUUUGAUGAUAAACAACAUAUAUUCUCUGGAAGACUUACCUUUGCUUAGUAAAUAUUUCAUUUUCUAUUUCAAGGCUGUAACAAAGCCACAGUUUUACUCUGACCUUGAAAAUUCAGAAUGGGAUAAUAGAUGUGUCAGACAGAUUAGCAGAAUUGUUAAUACUACUAUAAGUUGGAGUAAUAACACUGUUUGAGAUGGUAACUAGAUGCUCCUGGGAAUAGCACUGAAGUAAUCAACCACAAGGCAUGGGUUCCAAGGAAGCACUGAAAUGCCUUCCCAUUUCUCCCAAAAGACAAGAAAGAGAAGAGCUGAAUUAGCAGUUAAUAAUAUAUAAUGAGUUAGAAGUUUGAAGUUUAUGAUGAUUCAUAAUUAUUGUAAGAAACCAGUUUGUCAAUUCAUGAAUUCAAGACAAACUUGUUUUCCUGCACACUGACUAUUGCCAUUUGUUGUAGUUGUGGUGUUGUAUGAUCUUUCAACAGGGUUCAAUUUUUGGAGAUUUUUUUUUCCCUUCCUACAACAAAUAGUAAGUAAGCAAAGGGUUUGGUGUCUCUGAAAAGAAAAAUUGGAGUCCAGUCAGAUUUUCAAAGACAUUUUUGGUAACAGCCCUUCCUUUUCACAGAUUUGUUGAUCCCUGUAGCUGACAAGGAUUUCAACUGCUGUGAAGCAGCUGUCUGCAGUGAGUAAGCUAUGAACUCCCCUGGCUUGAUGAGGUACGCAGAGCACAGGCACCCUGAAGAGAAGACAUUGGGAAAUCUGGGCCUGCCAUCUACAAAGAACUUCAAGAUGCUUUCAUCCAGAGCAGGAACUAUGCCCAUUCCUAUGUCUGGGACAGGAAGCAAGGUCAACGGAAAGGAGUUGCAUGAUCCCUCCAAUGCCAGUGAAGCUUGCUGUGCUUUAGGCGUGACAGCACUUGGCUGGGCAUCUCUUAUGGUUAUAUAGGAGAUAUAUAACCUUGCAGGAUUGCUUGUCCAGACUUCUAGUAGGAUUUUCCCUCCUUCUGUUUCUCCUCACUGUCUUCAUCCAAAUCAAGUCAAUUAAGAUACUUGCCCUCAACCUUAUCUUCUCAUAAGACUUCUCACCUGAUUGUUGUGUAAUACUGUGUAGCCCAACUUAAUCUCAAACACAAAUUGUAAGCAAAUUUCCAGUAAUAAUAUAUUUCCAGUGUCUUUUUUCUUAUUUUGUCUGAUUUUUUUUUUUUUAAAGCUCAUUCGUAUUUAAAAAUGAUUUGACUAAAUUUUUCAUGACUUUUGCUUGCACUUAAGUUAACUAUUUCCAUAUUUAGCAGUCCCUAUCAGGCUGCUUAUUCACUUUGUAUUCAGUCCUGUAGUCAAGGGAAUUGACUUCCACACAGCUCUGCAUGGAUCUAUGGCACAGAUUACCACAAUGAGUAUGGUAUUAUAUUUAAUUCUUAACUGGAUGAACAUAAUCAGAUACCUGUAUGAAUGAUCACAAGAAAGUUCAGAUGUUCUUUCCCAAUUAUUCAGAGAAAAUGUAAAACUCAGUUUCAACAGUAUUUAUAGAAAGCAAAGGUAUCACAGAUGCUAAUAUGAUUGGAGCAUCUUUGUGUUUAAGUUUGGAUUAUUUUUCCCAUGGGAUUUCUUGAAUCCUUUUUACAUUAUCCACCCCACUCCAGCCCUGCCUAUGGAUGAGUACUGCAACCUGUUUUCCCCUAGAUCAGCUACCCUUAGUCUAUCAUAACAGCAUGUUGGGUUCUUGAUAUCUCUGCGUGUAUCCUCAUGUACUUGUGUUUGGGAUAGAGAAUUUACUGUAAAGAACUCAGAGACCUGACAAAUAAUAAUAGCAGAAAAAUAAAUUGGACUGGAAGGGCUGCAGUAGAGAGGUAAACAUACAGUGUUCUGGUAAAUAUUGUGUGCUUAGUGAGGUACCUGCUAAGAAGGGUGUGAAAGCAAAAAAUUGUAAUUGAUGGAUAUAGAAGGUAAACAAGGAUUCAGCUACUCUAUAGAAUAUGUGAUAUAAUUUGGAGCAGUGGAAUGAACAUAAAAAGUAAAAA